rnacentral:rRNA from 1 species
AUUGAACGCUGGCGGCAUGCCUUACACAUGCAAGUCGAACGGCAGCAUGGGUGCUUGCACCUGAUGGCGAGUGGCGAACGGGUGAGUAAUGCAUCGGAACGUACCCGGAAGUGGGGGAUAACGUAGCGAAAGUUACGCUAAUACCGCCUAUUCUGUGAGCAGGAAAGUGGGGGAUCGCAAGACCUCGCGCUUCCGGAGCGGCCGAUGUCGGAUUAGCGAGUUGGCGGGGUAAAGGCCCACCAAGGCAACGAUCCGUAGCGGGUCUGAGAGGAUGAUCCGCCACACGGGGACUGAGACACGGCCCAGACUCCUACGGGAGGCAGCAGUGGGGAAUUUUGGACAAUGGGGGCAACCCUGAUCGAGCCAUGCCGCGUGAGUGAAGAAGGCCUUCGGGUUGUAAAGCUCUUUCGGCCGGGAAGAAAUCGCACAGGUUAAUACCUUGUGUGGAUGACGGUACCGGAAUAAGAAGCACCGGCUAACUACGUGCCAGCAGCCGCCGUAACAC